UGAGGAAUAUUGGACAAUGGGCGCAAGCCUGAUCCAGCCAUGCCGCGUGCAGGAUGACGGUCCUAUGGAUUGUAAACUGCUUUUGUACAGGAAGAAACAGUUCUACGUGUAGAACCUUGACGGUACUGUAAGAAUAAGGAUCGGCUAACUCCGUGCCAGCAGCCGCGGUAAUACGGAGGAUCCAAGCGUUAUCCGGAAUCAUUGGGUUUAAAGGGUCCGUAGGCGGUUAGAUAAGUCAGUGGUGAAAGCCCAUCGCUCAACGGUGGAACGGCCAUUGAUACUGUCUGACUUGAAUUAUUAGGAAGUAACUAGAAUAUGUAGUGUAGCGGUGAAAUGCUUAGAGAUUACAUGGAAUACCAAUUGCGAAGACAGGUUACUACUAAUGGAUUGACGCUGAUGGACGAAAGCGUGGGCAGCGAACAGGAUUAGAUACCCCCGUAGUCCCUGAGCGGGCUGGCAAGGCGCAU
rnacentral:rRNA from 1 species